AGCACUGGGGUAUCUGGUCUGCUCAGAUCUGCUGCUGGAGGACAAGACCAGCUAAGAUUCUUUCAGAGAAAUGGUGGAAGACAAAACAGUGUAGGAGAGAGUCCGAAGAGUUGGCACUCAAACUCAAAAACCUUAUGUGAGAGCAUAGCAAGAAACAUCUUUCCAGGUCUAUCCUGAGCAUCUGGACCCAGUGAGUGAUAAGUGAGAGAAGAGGAGCCUCAGAAAUGUGAGAGAGGAAAAAAAAUGUGGAAGGAGGCACGGAUUGAGAUCAGGCUGCAGAGCGCUUCCAAGUAUGAACAAACCUAAAUGAAGACAGCUGGCAGAGGCUCUUGUCAUCUAAUUCCUUCCAGAUGUGCAGUCAUAUGCUGCAGUUUCUGACUAAUGACAUCCCUGAGGAAAGCCCUGGGGAUGCUGCAGUGAUGCGGUGGGCGAGGGGCAUGCCAGGAACCUGUUGGUGGGCCGAUAGCACUGACUCCCCAGAAGCUGCUGCUUGGAGACCCUGGGGAGGGACCCUCUGCUCUCCCUCUCUUCCCCUUGAGAUCAGCAGGGCUCAGCAGGUGGCACGGGGCUGACUCUGCCAUGCUUGGGCACCCAGGCAGCUCUCCACAGACAAGUGCGUGUGAGGCACCCGAAGUGAUGAGUUGCUGCACUCUGCCUCAGCACUGUCUGUGUUUGCAGGGAGGUAGGGUGAGGGCUGUUUGCCUCAGGAGUGACUCAGGCUGAUGAACCCAAUUCCAGUCAGGCACAGGAGCACUUCUCUGAAUGGUGCUGUUGACUCCUGGCUCCUUGUCUGGCGCUGCUGCUGGUGAGCUCUCUGCUGGAUGAGCAGGAUCAAUGCAUAGGGCAACAUGUAAUAACUGGACAGAGGAAAGUGGUUUCCAGCUCCAGUAACCACAGCAUCACCUUAUCUGGAAUGUCCCAGCCAAACCCAAUGACGACGGCCCAACUGCAGCCAUGCUCUGAGGUGUGUCAGACUGUGCAACGGAGGCCCCAACCUCCCAUAGCCCAUGGCAGCGUUCCUUUCUCUGGUAGCACUUCUCCCUGUGGUGGCUUUGCCUCUUCUGACUCUGAGCUUCCCUCUCAGCUCCUUUCCCUUACCUGGGCCUCCCUCAUUCCUGGAGCAGCACAUCAUCCUGCCUAAAGCUGCUCUUUUGCCACAGGGUCUUCACCUGCAUGAAAUGACCAUUUUGUCCAUGAGCUGCUAGUGAGGGAACGGGCAGGGUGAAUCCACAUGAGGACAGGACUGUGCCGAGGACUGAUGCUAAAGGUACCGUCUCUAAACAGAGGCAUACUGAAUUGACGUUUUCUGCCUGCAGGAUUUCACUGUGGGGUGGUGUACUCCAGGUGUGAUGCAAAAUGGAGCAUCACAUCAUGCUUUGCUGAAAUAACACAUCUCCUGUGGGAGAUGCAAACUCUGAGCGUCUGGAGGAUGAAGGACUGCGUUAUGAAGAGACUUGAGGGAUGUGCUGGAGCACUCCUUCCCCUGUGACCUGGGGGACACCUGCCAGAGUGGGAAGGAUAAAUCAGUGGAGCCCUUCCCUCAAGUUGAGCAAGCUCACCUGAGCAGAAAGAUGCCAGACAGCAGCCCAAGUCACAGAUAGGUGAAGAGUAGUAACUAAGGCAGGAGAGCUGUGAUAUCCAGCGGUGAAGCAGGACAGCUGUGGAGAGAAGAGGCACCACACAGAUGAAGAGGCUGGACUGGCAGCAUUUCUGAGUCCAUGGGACCUUAUCCCCCGGAAGGGGCUGGCUGCUCCCUGCUUACAUGGGUUUCAGUCAUGCCCCAGCUCCCUGACUGGGGAAUAGUCUAGAGGGAAAUCCAUGGGACUUUCCCAUCUCCUCACCCUUCCUGGCAGUGGUAAAGGGAGUACUGGGGAGGGAAAGUUUAGGCGAUACAGUUACAAAGUGCAAGUACCUCUGAGGACAUCAGACCCUGCCCCAUCUGAUUGCUGUGAUAUCAAGGGGAGCCCCAGCUGUGCACUCUGAGCCUCUGAGCGAUGCUUUAUUUGUAAACACUUGUUAAGAAAACAAACGAAAAAAGAGGCUUUUGAGAUUAUCUUGGUCCUGCCACAUCACCAGGUGCUGGAAGAGCUCUGGCUGCCCACGGUGCAGGACCUGGGUAAGCCUCAGGCAUGCCACUGGGGAAUCCCCGGCUGCAGAGAGGAAGAGACACCACCAGCUUCUGUGAAACACCUUCAUUCAUUCCUUGCUGAUCCUGGCAAAAAGUGGCGAGGGGCUGGUUUUGAUCAGAAGCAAUCUGGCGCUGGACCUUGGUGCAGCUGGUAACUGCAACCUGCAGCCCUGAGCUGCGCUUGGCCCUGAGGAGGUUCUGUUGUGUUUGCAUUUGAAAGAGCCUCUUGUGCUCCUGUGCUUGCAGUUGAACGGCUUCCAAGGCAGCUUCCUUUUCUCUCUUUUUGUCACCAUUAUUACUUUUUAAUAAAGUUCCCUGAUUAGAUUCUGAAACUUCAUGGUGAAGCGGCCUUGGCAAUAAUUUCCUCUCGUUGGCCACUCAUAGUGGUUUCCAGGCCAGCUCAGUGCUGCUGCAAAGAAAGACACAGUGGGGUGAGAGGAAGCCCAGGGCACUGACUCUGUCCUGAUGCCACAGUGCUCUUUGGGAGAUACCAGAUGGGCCACAACAUGGUGGGGAGCAGUGGUGUAGGGGCUGAGUGUGGUGUGGGGAGUGCAGGUAUGGGGUAUCCACCCACGUUCAUCUCCUUGACUUCGUUCUCCUCUGGUUCUUCUGUAGGGCUUUUUCUCCAGUCCUUAGAAAGUACUGUUUAUCAAUAUUAACUAUGUUAAUAGUAACAACAAUUAAAACAUUGGCAUUCGUA